UGCACUCACUACUGUAAAUCGCUCUGGAUAAGAGCGUCUGCUAAAUGACAAAGA
rfam:Salmo salar isolate Sally breed double haploid chromosome ssa24, whole genome shotgun sequence.